rnacentral:rRNA from 1 species
GAUGAACGCUGGCGGCGUGCCUAAUACAUGCAAGUCGAACGCUGGAGAUCUAGCUUGCUAGAUCGAAGGAGUGGCGAACGGGUGAGUAAUACAUAAGCAACCUACCCACGAAGACUGGGAUAAUCUCUGGAAACGGGGACUAAUACCGGAUAGGUAAUCGGAAGGCAUCUUCUGGUUAUUAAAGGUUAAAAACACUGGUGGAUGGGCUUAUGGCGCAUUAGUUAGUUGGUGAGGUAACGGCCCACCAAGACGAUGAUGCGUAGCCGGCCUGAGAGGGUGAACGGCCACAUUGGGACUGAGACACGGCCCAGACUCCUACGGGAGGCAGCAGUAGGGAAUUUUCGACAAUGGGGGCAACCCUGACCGAGCAACGCCGCGUGAGUGAAGACGGCCUUCGGGUUGUAAAGCUCUGUUGUAAGGGAAGAACGGUAGAUAGAGAAUAUCUAAGUGACGGUACCUUACCAGAAAGCCACGGCUAACUACGUG